AAUAGAGAAGUAAUUAUACAAUUAGUUUCGACCUAAUAAUAAGGAAAUUUGUUCCUCCUAUUU
rnacentral:tRNA from 1 species